rnacentral:rRNA from 1 species
UACGUACCGUCCAAACGUUAUUCGGAAUUACUGGGCUUAAAGGGCGCGUAGGCGGCACGGCAAGUCGGGAGUGAAAGCCCGGGGCUCAACCCCGGAGGGUCUCUCGAAACUGCCGAGCUAGAGUGCGGAAGAGGCAAUCGGAAUUCCCAGUGUAGCGGUGAAAUGCGUAGAUAUUGGGAAGAACACCGGAGGCGAAGGCGGAUUGCUGGGCCGACACUGACGCUGAGGCGCGAAAGCCAGGGGAGCAAACGGG